rnacentral:lncRNA from 1 species
UUCAAAAAAAUUUUCCCAGCCCGAAGUAGUGGAUGUGUGAAUUGUUCGUAAGGGGAUUUUUCCGCAUUCUCUAUUUCAUUUGUUUGUUUUCGUACGAGUGGUCGUCCAAACCAGUACCUGUGGAUCUUUUGAUCACUGAGUGUGUUUCAAAGAUCUACAUCUUUUGUUUUUUCAUAAAGAUUAUCUUACUUACUCUAAAGUAAUUAGGGAAUUAAAACUUGAGAAUGGCAUGGUCAGGUUGGGCGUAGAUUUACGUUCCUGCUAUGUCUAGGUCUCGAAUGUUGUUUUUUGAUUGGAAUGUGUCUGAAGAUAUUCAACCUCUCAUCUUCACCGAUGAGCCCAUAGAGGUUGAAGAGGGCGAAACACAUUUCUAAGAGCUAGUGUUUGGAUCUUCGAUUCUAUUCAAAAAAUUUUUCCCAGCCCGAAGUAGUGGAUGUGUGAAUUGUUCGUAAGGGGAUUUUUCCGCAUUCUCUAUUUCAUGUGUUUGUUUUCGUACGAGUGGUCGUCCAAACCAGUACCUGUGGAUCUUUUGAUCACUGAGUGUGUUUCAAAGAUCUACAUCUUUUGUUUUUUCAUAAACAUUAUCUUACUUACUCUAAAGUAAUUAGGGAAUUAAAACUUGAGAAUGGCAUUGUCAGGUUGGGCGUAGAUUUACGUUCCUGCUAUGUCUAGGUCUCGAAUGUUGUUUUUUGAUUGGAAUGUGUCUGAAGAUAUUCAACCUCUCAUCUUCACCGAUGAGCCCAUAGAGGUUGAAGAGGGCGAAACACAUUUCUAAGAGCUGGUGUUUGGAUCUUCGAUUCUAUUCAAAAAAUAUUUCCCAGCCCGAAGUAGUGGAUGUGUGAAUUGUUCGUAAGGGGAUUUUUCCGCAUUCUCUAUUUCAUUUGUUUGUUUUCGUACGAGUGGUCGUCCAAACCAGUACCUGUGGAUCUUUUGAUCACUGAGUGUGUUUCAAAGAUCUACAUCUUUUGUUUUUUCAUAAACAUUAUCUUACUUACUCUAAAGUAAUUAGGGAAUUAAAACUUGAGAAUGGCAUUGUCAGGUUGGGCGUAGAUUUACGUUCCUGCUAUGUCUAGGCCUCGAAUGUUGUUUUUUGAUUGGAAUGUGUCUGAAGAUAUUCAACCUCUCAUCUUCACCGAUGAGCCCAUAGAGGUUGAAGAGGGCGAAACACAUUUCUAAGAGCUGGUGUUUGGAUCUUCGAUUCUAUUCAAAAAAUAUUUCCCAGCCCGAAGUAGUGGAUGUGUGAAUUGUUCGUAAGGGGAUUUUUCCGCAUUCUCUAUUUCAUUUGUUUGUUUUCGUACGAGUGGUCGUCCAAACCAGUACCUGUGGAUCUUUUGAUCACUGAGUGUGUUUCAAAGAUUUACAUCUUUUAUUUUUUCAUAAACAUUAUCUUACUUACUCUAAAGUAAUUAGGGAAUUAAAACUUGAGAAUGGCAUUGUCAGGUUGGGCGUAGAUUUACGUUCCUGCUAUGUCUAGGUCUCGAAUGUUGUUUUUUGAUUGGAAUGUGUCUGAAGAUAUUCAACCUCUCAUCUUCACCGAUGAGCCCAUAGAGGUUGAAGAGGGCGAAACACAUUUCUAAGAGCUGGUGUUUGGAUCUUCGAUUCUAUUCAAAAAAAUUUUCCCAGCCCGAAGUAGUGGAUGUGUGAAUUGCUCGUAAGGGGAUUUUUCCGCAUUCUCUAUUUCAUUUGUUUGUUUUCGUACGAGUGGUCGUCCAAACCAGUACCUGUGGAUCUUUUGAUCACUGAGUGUGUUUCAAAGAUCUACAUCUUUUGUUUUUUCAUAAACAUUAUCUUACUUACUCUAAAGUAAUUAGGGAAUUAAAACUUGAGAAUGGCAUUGUCAGGUUGGGCGUAGAUUUACGUUCCUGCUAUGUCUAGGUCUCGAAUGUUGUUUUUUGAUUGGAAUGUGUCUGAAGAUAUUCAACCUCUUAUCUUCACCGAUGA